rnacentral:rRNA from 1 species
AACGAACGCUGGCGGCAGGCUUAACACAUGCAAGUCGAGCGCCCCGCAAGGGGAGCGGCAGACGGGUGAGUAACGCGUGGGAAUCUACCCAUCACUACGGAACAACUCCGGGAAACUGGAGCUAAUACCGUAUACGUCCUUCGGGAGAAAGAUUUAUCGGUGAUGGAUGAGCCCGCGUUGGAUUAGCUAGUUGGUGGGGUAAUGGCCUACCAAGGCGACGAUCCAUAGCUGGUCUGAGAGGAUGAUCAGCCACAUUGGGACUGAGACACGGCCCAAACUCCUACGGGAGGCAGCAGUGGGGAAUAUUGGACAAUGGGCGAAAGCCUGAUCCAGCCAUGCCGCGUGAGUGAUGAAGGCCCUAGGGUUGUAAAGCUCUUUCACCGGUGAAGAUAAUGACGGUAACCGGAGAAGAAGCCCCGGCUAACUUCGUGCCAGCAGCCGCUGUAAUAC